GAUGAAGAACGUAGCGAAAUGCGAUAAGUAAUGUGAAUUGCAGAAUUCAGUGAAUCAUCGAAUCUUUGAACGCACAUUGCGCCCCUUGGUAUUCCGGGGGCAUGCCUGUUCGAGCGUCAUUAUAACCCCUCAAGCUCAGCUUGGUGUUGGGGCCUGCCAACUGGCAGCCCUUAAAAUCAGUGGCGGCGCCAUCUGGCUCUAAGCGUAGUAAUUUCUCUCGCUAUAGGGUCCCGGUGGAUGCUUGCCAACAACCCCCAAUUUUCUAUGGUUGACCUCGGAUCAGGUAGGGAUACCCGCUGAACUUAAGCAUAUCAAUAAGCGGAGGA
rnacentral:misc_RNA from 1 species